GGCCGAUUGGCUCAAUGGUAGAGCGUCCGCCUCCUACACAUGGCGGAAGCGGAAGGCUGAGGGUUCGAGUCCCUUGUCGGUCG